rnacentral:rRNA from 1 species
UGGCGGACGGGUGAGUAACGCGUGGGUAACCUGCCCUGUACAGGGGGAUAACAGUUAGAAAUGACUGCUAACACCGCAUAAGCGCACGGUAAGGCAUCUUAGUGUGUGAAAAUAUUAAUAGGUACAGGAUGGGCCCGCGUCUGAUUAGCCAGUUGGCAGGGUAACGGCCUACCAAAGCGACGAUCAGUAGCCGGCUUGAGAGAGUGAACGGCCACAUUGGGACUGAGACACGGCCCAGACUCCUACGGGAGGCAGCAG